AUUGAACGCUGGCGGCAGGCCUAACACAUGCAAGUCGAACGAGUGGCGGACGGGUGAGUAAUGUCUGGGCAACUGCCCGAUGGAGGGGGCUAACUACUGGAAACGGUAGCUAAUACCGCAUACCAUCGGAUGUGCCCAGAUGGGAUUAGCUAGUAGGUGGGGUAACGGCUCACCUAGGCGACGAUCCCUAGCUGGUCUGAGAGGCUGACCAGCCACACUGGGACUGAGACACGGUCCAGACUCCUACGGGAGGCAGCAGUGGGGAAUAUUGCACAAUGGGCGCAAGCCUGAUGCAGCCAUGCCGCGUGUAUGAAGAAGGCCUUCGGGUUGUAAAGUACUUUCAGCGAGGAGGCGUUACUCGCAGAAGAAGCAUCGGCUAACUCCGUGCCAGCAGCCGCGGUAAUUC
rnacentral:rRNA from 1 species